rnacentral:rRNA from 1 species
AGCCCUAACUUACCAAUGGUCACAGCGGAGGGCAAAGUCAAGACUGGUCCAGCAACAGUUCUCCAAGUUCGGCAAGUGCCUAGGCACAACAGGCCAGUAGUGCAGUGGUACAUCCAGUGGGAAAAUUUGCAGCCAGAAGACGCAACAUGGGAGGAUGCAGACUUCAUAAAGUACACAUUCCCUGAGUUUUUUUUGGACCACUACACAAGGGUGGAGAGACCAAGAACAAGCGCCAUGAGGACAUGUCGUUUCUCAAGAAGGGGGAAAUGUCAGGACCGUAGUGUCUGA